CUGAUAGAACAUCUAUGUAUCUCUCAAGUUGAAAAUGAAAAGUAUAAUCAAGUGCAUCGAAAAGUGAUCAGUUAAAGUUAAAUAGUUUAAUUAGUUUUCAGCUGUGUUUGUAAGCCAAAUAUUAAACAAUUGUAAGUAAUUUUAGGUGUAGACCAGGGCAGCAUUCGAGAAAAGUGUGCUUAUAUUAGAGGGCAGGGCGUAGUUAAAAUGUGUAGGCGUCCCCCUUUUCAGACAAUUGGGCAGCACCCAAUGGCCGUCGUUUUUUCACCGACAGCAUUCAAUGUGCGUAGUCACCGAAGAAAAGUUGUAGUUAGAGGGCCUUUCCGUUAAAUCUAUAUCUGCAGAAAAGGAAAAAUAACUAAAAACCUAAAACCCAGCUAGCUAGUUAGUAAAAACGUGGUUCCACCGCGUGUAGUCGGUUAAAUUGCAUAAUUCGGGUUAUUUCAUCAAAGAAAUUGCGGCGUGUAAAUGAAAAUUUAUGGAAAGGCAUUGCCAGCACUGCACAAAUUUUCCAAGAAGUAGGCGUAAGGAAGCCAUUUAUGCAAACGCAGGCACAUACGAGAAAAACUGGCCUGCAGCUGCUGCAUUUCGAAAACCAGACCGUAGCCUUGAGGCCCAUGAACAAUGGAUAUAGAACCCCUGGGAACCGAACCCAAAUGGCUUAUAGGGGUUGGACUGGACUCAGGUAGGCGAGACGAAAACGAGAGCUCGAGGAAACCGAGGCUACAUUUUUUCCACCGCCGCUUCAUCGAUCGUCAGUCGUCGGCGGCAUGGCCUAGUGGAAACUUCUCGUGAAGCUUAGAAAGUGACCUAUUGCAGACACAACGCAACAGGACCGAGAUGUGUUCCAUCGGCAGUGGCAACUUCUGGGCCUCCCCAGCCCCAACUUAAAAAUCACACCACUUUUCCCUCAAUAUCUGUGACUAGUAACGUAGCUUCAAGUCCAGUAAUCGCCCCAUAGAACCAUCAAACUAUGAAGUACCAAAAAGAUAUUCUCAAAAGUAAGAGAUUCACCGCCUGAGCUGCAAUUCUUCCGGGUGGCGUCUUCGAGGCAUCGAGAAGAUGCGGCUGCCUGGAAGAGCGUCUGCGGUACGAGUGGUGCACCUUGCGCGGCGGCGAACUGAGUGGAGGAGCCCAUAUAAACCGAACCCUGCAGUCCUACGUAGACCCUAUGGCCCAACCAAAACGAGGAGGAGUAUCACUCCCCUUGGAAGAAAUGAAACGAAAACGCUUGCGAUGGAAAAGUCUGACCGGAGUGAAAGAGCAAAGAACCCAGAAAAUCCCCAGAGCAUUCGCUUGGCGCCACUUGUGUUCCGAGAAGACGCGUACGCAUACCUCUAUUGGUCGCAAGUGACGGUACGCGGAUGCGAGCGAGACGACAACACUGUAGACAAGGAGAGACGGCUCCCUCUCUCCAUCUCUCUCUCUAUCGCGCUGGCCGGGCGUUUGCAUCGCAAGCGGCUGAGCGAGAUGGCCAUAGGGCGGAUUGCAGGACCCGAAAGAGAGCGGUGAAGCAAUAUAACCCCCAUAAACACUAAACAACGCGUCGAAAGAUGCGCAUAAACCACGGGCAUCCCUCGGCGAGCACAAAGCACAAACCGCACUCACGAAUAGCGCUCCGCCCUGAAGAGGCCAGCCAAAUCUGAUAGAAUUACUCAGCCAGGAGUGUAGAAUCGGUAUAAAUCAACCAAUUAUCGAAAACUGCCCAGGCAGCUUUAUAAACACACCCAAAACUUAUAAAAGGCAGAGCUGUGCGCUCUUUAAAGCUUUAUAAAGUGUCAUCGUAACGUUCACCCACUUCACAGUCCAUCAAAAUCCAUUUCUGGUCUAUAAAGAGCGAUAUUGUAGGGUCUUAAAAUCGUCCUUAAUUUGAUGGCUUGCAUUUGUUCAACUUUAAAGUUAUCACUGCCCUUGGAACUAUCAAAGUUUUGAGGGAAAUUUCGAACUGGGGUGUUAGUUGUAGGGACCUUUAGAAUUAGACGCCAUGCCGCCUCUUCACUUAGAUCGAAAAAGCCAAGAAGCUACGCCCAGAAGAAACUGCCUCUGCAUAGGUUCUUAAAGUAAGCAAGACGGCCCAAAUGGAUUCCCACCGACCAAGGGACAUUAUAGCUUCUUAUAUCUUUUCUUAUAACCCAGCACUGUUUUGAAACUCAAGCUGGGCCACAAAACGAACUCAUCACCACAGCCACAAUCAAAAAAUUACAACUCAAGAAUCAGUCUAGUUUAACUAACCCAAUGUUAAAUCACAUAACCAAUGCCUAGAAAUCGCCCCAAAGGGGUAUUUUGCUUUUGAUUUAAUUAUUUACUAUGGUUUUCAACUAACCAAAACAUUGCUUGCAGCCAAUUAAUCAGUUUAUUAGCUGAAAAAGCCUUUAAAUUAACUGCUAGGAGGUGAGUUUUUGUCUUCGAUCCUUGGAAAGCGUUGAGUGGUGCCCAACUAGAGGAGACAGGCCAGGAAAAGCCUGUAUAAAAAAACCUAUAACAAAAAAAAAACAAGCUAAAUAAAGAAACAAAUAUGGAAAUGCUAUACAAGCUGGUCAGAAGUUAAGUGAAAAAAGAAAACAAAAUAUGCUCAUAAAACGCAUAAUGAAAUCGUGCGCUUCGUGAGCAAAAGAAACUAAAAAAAAUAUUUUAAAAAAAGCGAAUUAAGUGCUGGCCAAUCGUUCGACCUGCAGUUGAUUUGCUAAUGGCCAAAAAUAUUCGCUUAAACUUAGGGCAAAGCUUGUUUACAAAUUCCCACUACUGGGCACCAGCAAAGCGUUUCCACCGGGGAAUAAAGCAAAAGCUAUUAUUCUAUUGGCCUUGAUUAUUAACCUAUUUCUAUGCUGUGUUUUUUCAGAUGAGUUUUGAACAGAGACGAAACUUGGAGCCUCGCGGAGCCAAAGUUUUCAAUUAAUUUUUCUUUACAUUGUCCUUAUUCAAGGCGAUUUCCAGAUGCUUUUCAAAAAUUUACCAAAACAAUCACUGUCUAAUUCUUGAACUUGAGUUUCCAUUCGAAAGUCAUCUUAAUUCCGUUGGUGACUUGCUUGAGCUGAAACAUUGUGCAUAGUCCUUUAUUUCUGGUUAGUUGAACCUUUUGUAUGCGAAUGUCCUGCAGUUUAGGGAAUACCAUCUAAGCUGUUGCUUUCUCUUGAACUUGAUAUGCAAGCAGGUUUAAAUAGAGCCUAUGAAAUCCAGUCCUUCCUUAACUGUGGCCACAGCCAAGAAGCUCCGCCAAACACAAGAGAAGAUAAUACUAACCACUUUGUACCAACUUUCAGAUCCGCCCUGGAGGAGAUUCUGUUUGUUUUGUCUGUUCGAGCAACUAACCUCUUCUUUUUUCAGCUUCCCUGCUCUAUCCCAAGAAAAAUUUUGUCAAUAGUACCACCAGUUUCCCCACUGUUUCAUUUUUAGUGUGUUUUUCCCCAGUAACAUCAGUUCUUAAAACCCCAAUCCGUCCUGUACUAGCUGUGCAUGCCCUAUGCUUUCACAUAACUCCGAAACCCAUUUUAAUCCCAAAUCACCAAACACAACGAUCAUCUAAUCUCAGUUCUUGUUUCGGUGAACGCCUCAAAAAGCGCGGUUUUGAAACGUUUUCCGAAACAGGAACAAUGAAAAUAUUCAUGAACUGCGCAGAACGAAAAGAAUGAACCGUUUUGAAAGCAAACGCUUUGAUCACGGUUCAAAAAAGAUUAAAAAAAAAGAAAAAGAAAAAAACUAAAACACAUUUACUAACAAUAGAAUAAGAAAAAAAAAUAAAAAGAAAAAAAAAGAAAAAAAAAAAAGAAAACUUGCUGGUCAACGUUCUACGCAGUUCAGAAAAGAUGUAUGCUAAAUGAAAUAAACACAAAAAAAAAGAAAAUGCAAGUUAAAUGAAAAAUGUGUGGAAACGUUAUACGAAUCUUCACCAAAGUGC